CCCACAUUCCGAGAAUGUUGUAAGUGCAAGGAACAAAUGGGGAAGAAACUCAAGCCACCUUCAUUUUAAAGGAAAAGUACGGAGUGAGAGACAGGACAUUCUUCUCUGGAGAACAGAGAAUUCUGCUCCCCCAAGGAGAGCGCUAUUAAGACAGCCCAUUUUCAGAAACACCUCUUCUACUUCAAGGAGGACAAUACUUAAGAGUGGAGAAGACCCAUUGUUCACUAAGGCUCUCCGCAAUACUUGGAGUUUGCCCAGUUUCUAGGCUGCCUCUGAGAUAUCUGUGGACCAAAGGAAAGGGACCUUCACCAGUGUAGCCAUCACUGAGUUCAAAUGAAAGUUUUGGAUCAGGAAAUACUGUUAUCAUCCUCAUUCUCCUGCAUGGAAAAACUUUGGAAUUCACUAAAUCCAAUGUCAACAAAUUACUGGAGCAGGUUGCUUCUGUCAGUGACAAAACCACUCCAAGGCAAUGCAGACAAAAGGGAUAUGAAAGGACUUUGUAAAAUGCGUUGCUAUUAGUUGAGAUGCCAGUUAGUUGCAUUUUAAUCUCAUUUCCUCUAAAACACAA